CUGUUAUAUUUAGGAACAACUGUGGGAUUCUAUCAUCCCAGAAAGACAUCUGCAUUGGAAACAAACCUUAACAGGUACUGUUUUAGCGAAGAAUCCAAACUCCCAGAUCCAUUGGCUGGUAGGUGUUAGCAGAGAGCAGAGAGAGACCUCUGUCAAGAAGUAUACUUUUUGGCAGCAACCUUUUAGAAAAAUCCCUACAUAAUGGCCAACCAACUGUAUGCUGUCUCUUGCCUGCACACGAAAGAGGCUUCCUGCAGCUUCCAACUCCUCUAGAUUUUUAUCAGCCACUCACAGCAUCCUCUCCAUGGCAGCUGCUGCCAGAGUGGAUUUAGAGGAAUAUUGUGUUACCUCCAGCAUUUGAGACCUGCCCACCUGGACUUCAGAAGUUCCCAUGGAGGCCAUCUCGCCUCACCAAACUCUUCACCACUGAGACAAGGAGCGUGAGGCUAGCUAGCUCUGGCAGGAACUACCUUCAAAAAGUGCCUGUUGCAUCUUGAAAUAGCAUAUGUGUAUGUCUAUGUCUAUGUGUAUGCAUCUGUAUCAGACUGUGUCUGAAGUGUGUAUAUAUGGUUUGUAUGUAUGUGCAUGUAUGUGUUUGGGUAACCCUAUUCCGCUUAAGAUAGCUUCCUAUCAACUGAUGGUAUAUAGGCUGUGGGAUGGAAAGAGGAAAAUCCUGUUCUGUAUGAUUAGAAACCUCUCUGGUUUCAAUGUAAUGGAGCCCUGUGGCAGUAAAACUCCCUCCCACAAAGUGCCGAUGCCUGUUUCUCCAGCCCCAGCUUCUUGCCUUCCUUCAUAUUUUUAUCCUCUAGCUUAGAGGCGUUGGAGAAUAAAGGAGAAAUUAAUGUGGCUGCAGCUCAUGCAUUAUCCUCUUGGGGAUGUGAUUGAUUGGCUGAUUGGCUGGCGGCUUCCAGACAACCCUUGGAACAGUCAAGCUUCUCUGCAAUCUAAACAGCUAUUCAGCAGUAACACAGUUUGGACGAACAAUAGCAAGCCAGAGUUUUCCACAUGGUGUUCCAGGCCGGUAUGGCUCACAAAAGCGAUAGCUAGCUGGGCUCACUGGAGAGUUACAGAUCAAGGACAACACUCUGUUUUGCUCAACACGCAUCUGACAAGCCUUCACAAUUUGUUCUGCCUACAGCCCUCCU